CUUCAGAUCCCAGAGCUGCAGCGUCAUGCAGAGCUGUGGAACGCUAACUUACUGAGAGCGCUGCUAUCGGCAGAUUUCUCCGUGACGCUGCUCAGAGUCUCGGUCCGACCUGCCGGAGCAGCACCGUCUGCUGCUGGACCCCCCUGAGAACACACCUGACUUUA